UUUUCCUACGGGAGGCAGCAGUGGGGAAUAUUGCACAAUGGGGGAAACCCUGAUGCAGCGACGCCGCGUGAGUGAAGAAGUAUUUCGGUAUGUAAAGCUCUAUCAGCAGGGAAGAAAAUGACGGUACCUGACUAAGAAGCCCCGGCUAACUACGUGCCAGCAGCCGCGGAAAUACGUAGGGGGCAAGCGUUAUCCGGAUUUACUGGGUGUAAAGGGAGCGUAGGCGGCGCGGCAAGUCUGAAGUGAAAGGCAGGGGCUUAAC
rnacentral:rRNA from 1 species